rnacentral:lncRNA from 1 species
UUGAAACUUCUGUAUGUGUAAUGUUUACUGUUAAUUUUUGUUGUUUUUCACUUUAUAUAUUGUCUACCUCACUUGCUUUGGCAAUGUUAACACGUUUCCCAUGCCAAUAAAGCCCUUGAAUUGAAUUGAGAGAGACACAGAGAGAGAGAGAGAGAGAGAGCGAGACACAGAGAGAGAGAGCGAGCGAGACACAGAGAGAGAGAGCGAGCGAGACACAGAGAGAGAGAGCGAGCGAGACAGAGAGAGAGAGCGAGCGAGACACAGAGAGAGAGAGCGAGCGAGACACAGAGAGAGAGAGCGAGCGAGACACAGAGAGAGAGAGCGAGCGAGACACAGAGAGCGAGACACAGAGAGCGAGACACAGAGACAGAGAGACACACAGAGACAGAGAGAGACAGAGAGAGACACAGAGACAGAGAGAGACACAGAGACAGAGAGAGACACAGAGACAGAGAGAGACACAGAGACAGAGAGAGACACAGAGACAGAGAGAGACACAGAGACAGAGAGAGACACAGAGACAGAGAGAGACACAGAGACAGAGAGAGACACAGAGACAGAGAGAGACAGAGACAGAGAGAGACACAGAGACAGAGAGAGACACAGAGACAGAGAGAGACACAGAGACAGAGAGAGACACAGAGACAGACACAGAGACAGACACAGAGACAGAGAGAGACACAGAGAGAGACACAGAGACAGACACAGAGACAGACACACAGAGACAGACACAGAGACAGAGAGAGACACAGAGACAGAGAGAGACACAGAGACAGAGAGAGACACAGAGACAGAGAGAGACACAGAGACAGAGAGACAGAGACAGAGAGAGAGAGACACAGAGACAGAGAGACAGAGACACAGAGAGAGAGAGACAGAGGGCUGUUUUUGAGAUCCACUAAACUGCUACCUGGCAUCUGGAAUUGUGAUUGGUUGCCAGAUGAAAGCAGAUUUAGUGGAAAGUGCUGAGAUUCACCAUCUCCCUCUUCUUAUAGAAACAUGACCUCAACAAGACCUUCAAAUCAAAUAGUUAACUGCUUCAAGCAUCAAUGUACCAAUGAAUUGGUCAACGUCUCAAGGUUCCUUGACAAUCAAGACCAAGUAAAUCUGUCUGGUGACUUUAGGUCCUGACUGUGACAUGAAUCGAUCCUCCCUAAUUC